GCAGCGACGCCGCGUGAGCGAUGAAGCCCUUCGGGGUGUAAAGCUCUUUCGGCAGGGAAGAUGGUGACGGUACCUGCAGAAGCAGCUGCGGCUAACUACGUGCCAGCAGCCGCGGUAAUACGUAGGCAGCAAGCGUUGCUCGGAGUUACUGGGCGUAAAGGGUGUGCAGGCGGUUGUUUAAGUUUGGUGUGAAAUCUCCCGGCUCAACUGGGAGGGUGCGCCGAAUACUGAAUGACUAGAGUGCGGGAGAGGAAAGUGGAAUUCCUGGUGUAGCGGUGAAAUGCGUAGAUAUCAGGAGGAACACCGGUGGUGUAGACGGCUUUCUGGACCGUAACUGACGCUGAGACACGAAAGCGUGGGUAGCAAACAGGAUUAGAUACCCUGGUAGUCCACGCCCUAAACGAUGCAUAUUUGGUGUGGGCAGUUCAUUCUGUCCGUGCCGGAGCUAACGCGUUAAAUAUGCCGCCUGGGGAGUACAGUCGCAAGGCUG
rnacentral:rRNA from 1 species